rnacentral:lncRNA from 1 species
UUUUCACCGGGCCUAACAUGGGAGGAAAAUCCACAUUUAUACGCCAUGUUGAAGAAGAUAGAAUAUGGAGGUGGCAAGAUGGUCGGGUUGAAAACAGAAUGUCCAGGUCGGUUGAAGAAAUCUUUAACGAUUUGUGAUUUUUUCUCAUUCAUGUAUUUCAAUUAUUUAGUGUACUCUAAUAUUUGCAUUAGUAGUUUAACAUUUAUAUAAUUAAAAUAUUUGU